ACUAAGCGUACACGGUGGAUGCCCUGGCAGUCAGAGGCGAUGAAGGACGUGCUAAUCUGCGAUAAGCGUCGGUAAGGUGAUAUGAACCGUUAUAACCGGCGAUUUCCGAAUGGGGAAACCCAGUGUGUUUCGACACACUAUCAUUAACUGAAUCCAUAGGUUAAUGAGGCGAACCGGGGGAACUGAAACAUCUAAGUACCCCGAGGAAAAGAAAUCAACCGAGAUUCCCCCAGUAGCGGCGAGCGAACGGGGAGCAGCCCAGAGCCUGAAUCAGUAUGUGUGUUAGUGGAAGCGUCUGGAAAGGCGCGCGAUACAGGGUGACAGCCCCGUACACAAAAAUGCACAUGCUGUGAGCUCGAUGAGUAGGGCGGGACACGUGGUAUCCUGUCUGAAUAUGGGGGGACCAUCCUCCAAGGCUAAAUACUCCUGACUGACCGAUAGUGAACCAGUACCGUGAGGGAAAGGCGAAAAGAACCCCGGCGAGGGGAGUGAAAAAGAACCUGAAACCGUGUACGUACAAGCAGUGGGAGCACGCUUAGGCGUGUGACUGCGUACCUUUUGUAUAAUGGGUCAGCGACUUAUAUUCUGUAGCAAGGUUAACCGAAUAGGGGAGCCGAAGGGAAACCGAGUCUUAACUGGGCGUUAAGUUGCAGGGUAUAGACCCGAAACCCGGUGAUCUAGCCAUGGGCAGGUUGAAGGUUGGGUAACACUAACUGGAGGACCGAACCGACUAAUGUUGAAAAAUUAGCGGAUGACUUGUGGCUGGGGGUGAAAGGCCAAUCAAACCGGGAGAUAGCUGGUUCUCCCCGAAAGCUAUUUAGGUAGCGCCUCGUGAAUUCAUCUCCGGGGGUAGAGCACUGUUUCGGCAAGGGGGUCAUCCCGACUUACCAACCCGAUGCAAACUGCGAAUACCGGAGAAUGUUAUCACGGGAGACACACGGCGGGUGCUAACGUCCGUCGUGAAGAGGGAAACAACCCAGACCGCCAGCUAAGGUCCCAAAGUCAUGGUUAAGUGGGAAACGAUGUGGGAAGGCCCAGACAGCCAGGAUGUUGGCUUAGAAGCAGCCAUCAUUUAAAGAAAGCGUAAUAGCUCACUGGUCGAGUCGGCCUGCGCGGAAGAUGUAACGGGGCUAAACCAUGCACCGAAGCUGCGGCAGCGACGCUGAUGCGUUGUUGGGUAGGGGAGCGUUCUGUAAGCCUGCGAAGGUGUGCUGUGAGGCAUGCUGGAGGUAUCAGAAGUGCGAAUGCUGACAUAAGUAACGAUAAAGCGGGUGAAAAGCCCGCUCGCCGGAAGACCAAGGGUUCCUGUCCAACGUUAAUCGGGGCAGGGUGAGUCGACCCCUAAGGCGAGGCCGAAAGGCGUAGUCGAUGGGAAACAGGUUAAUAUUCCUGUACUUGGUGUUACUGCGAAGGGGGGACGGAGAAGGCUAUGUUGGCCGGGCGACGGUUGUCCCGGUUUAAGCGUGUAGGCUGGUUUUCCAGGCAAAUCCGGAAAAUCAAGGCUGAGGCGUGAUGACGAGGCACUACGGUGCUGAAGCAACAAAUGCCCUGCUUCCAGGAAAAGCCUCUAAGCAUCAGGUAACAUCAAAUCGUACCCCAAACCGACACAGGUGGUCAGGUAGAGAAUACCAAGGCGCUUGAGAGAACUCGGGUGAAGGAACUAGGCAAAAUGGUGCCGUAACUUCGGGAGAAGGCACGCUGAUAUGUAGGUGAAGUCCCUCGCGGAUGGAGCUGAAAUCAGUCGAAGAUACCAGCUGGCUGCAACUGUUUAUUAAAAACACAGCACUGUGCAAACACGAAAGUGGACGUAUACGGUGUGACGCCUGCCCGGUGCCGGAAGGUUAAUUGAUGGGGUCAGCGCAAGCGAAGCUCUUGAUCGAAGCCCCGGUAAACGGCGGCCGUAACUAUAACGGUCCUAAGGUAGCGAAAUUCCUUGUCGGGUAAGUUCCGACCUGCACGAAUGGCGUAAUGAUGGCCAGGCUGUCUCCACCCGAGACUCAGUGAAAUUGAACUCGCUGUGAAGAUGCAGUGUACCCGCGGCAAGACGGAAAGACCCCGUGAACCUUUACUAUAGCUUGACACUGAACAUUGAGCCUUGAUGUGUAGGAUAGGUGGGAGGCUUUGAAGUGUGGACGCCAGUCUGCAUGGAGCCGACCUUGAAAUACCACCCUUUAAUGUUUGAUGUUCUAACGUUGACCCGUAAUCCGGGUUGCGGACAGUGUCUGGUGGGUAGUUUGACUGGGGCGGUCUCCUCCUAAAGAGUAACGGAGGAGCACGAAGGUUGGCUAAUCCUGGUCGGACAUCAGGAGGUUAGUGCAAUGGCAUAAGCCAGCUUGACUGCGAGCGUGACGGCGCGAGCAGGUGCGAAAGCAGGUCAUAGUGAUCCGGUGGUUCUGAAUGGAAGGGCCAUCGCUCAACGGAUAAAAGGUACUCCGGGGAUAACAGGCUGAUACCGCCCAAGAGUUCAUAUCGACGGCGGUGUUUGGCACCUCGAUGUCGGCUCAUCACAUCCUGGGGCUGAAGUAGGUCCCAAGGGUAUGGCUGUUCGCCAUUUAAAGUGGUACGCGAGCUGGGUUUAGAACGUCGUGAGACAGUUCGGUCCCUAUCUGCCGUGGGCGCUGGAGAACUGAGGGGGGCUGCUCCUAGUACGAGAGGACCGGAGUGGACGCAUCACUGGUGUUCGGGUUGUCAUGCCAAUGGCACUGCCCGGUAGCUAAAUGCGGAAGAGAUAAGUGCUGAAAGCAUCUAAGCACGAAACUUGCCCCGAGAUGAGUUCUCCCUGACUCCUUGAGAGUCCUGAAGGAACGUUGAAGACGACGACGUUGAUAGGCCGGGUGUGUAAGCGCAGCGAUGCGUUGAGCUAACCGGUACUAAUGAACCGUGAGGCUUAACC
rnacentral:rRNA from 1 species